GGCAGCAAAGGAUGUCCAUGCUCAGGCUGUAGAGUUGAGAACUAUACCUCUGAAAACCAGUGGCCCAUUUAAAGAACUCACUCAAUUCCUUUCUUAGAGUCAGCCACUGAAUUUGCACAGAACUACAACCAUUUAAGUGGUACUAAAGCUGUGCUAAACUUUUGCACUGGAAGAUAAUUAGGCUGAUUUGACCAGAUAAUUCUCCCCGGCACAGACUCUCAGCCUGAAUGACCUUCUUCCAUAAAGAUUCUUUACCUUUGUGCUGUUUAUGAUGCACCAGAUAGUGUCAGCUCUAUCUAGGGAGAUGGUUGUGAGACGCAGAAAGAGAAGAAGGCAGCUCUGAUAACCCUUUGAGUAUGUAAACUACCUGAAUGAACUUUCUCGCUAUGUCGAGAAACCACCCAGGGCGACAGUGGUGCAGAGCUGGAGAACACGCCUUCAUGCCAGUUUUAAUGGUUAAGUACCAAAUUCCAUGCAUUUUGUUUACUCCAAUAAAAACUUUAUUUUGAAGCUAUGUGAGUUAAAACCACCAUCAGGAUGAUUUCAGUUAUCUGAAUUCCCUUUAUCCAGAAAUCCUAGUUAUCCGAAUGCACAGUGGGUCCCCCCGUAGUGCUGUGUUAGUUAAUCACACUCUGAUGAACUCACCUUAGGGCUGUGGGAGCUGCGAUUUGGGAGGAUUUCCAGAGUUAGAGAUGAGGACAAGGAAAAAAGGGAAGAAUUAGGGAGAAGAUGGGGAGGAGAGAAUAGGUGGGGAGGGAGAGAAAAGCAAACAGGCAAGAAAGAAUAAGAUGAAGGGGUUACAGUUAAGACUGAAAGGAGAAGGGCUCAGGAAGAGAAAGGACAAAGGGAGAGACAGGACAGCAGUUAAGGGAAAGAGAACAGGGCAGGAGGGAGGGGAAUGAAGAGAGACAGAGAAGGAUGGAGGAGAGAAAAAGCUCAGUGUUUCCCCAUGACCUAUAAAUAUAGGGACUCUGUCUCCUCUCUACUCUGAAACCUCUCUAUCUUUGUGUCUCUUCU